AGGUGGGCCACCCCUCCCCAACGAGGGGCUACUAUCUGCGAGGGUAGACAGA
rfam:Labrenzia sp. VG12 chromosome, complete genome.